rnacentral:rRNA from 1 species
GGGAUUGCCUCAGUAACGGCGAGUGAAGCGGCAACAGCUCAAAUUUUAAAGCUCGCGCCUUUGGCGUUCGCAUUGUAAUUUGGAGAGGCAUCUUCGGUUAGGGCGCCAGCCUAUGUUCCUUGGAACAGGACGUCACAGAGGGUGAGAAUCCCGUGCCUGGCUGGCUGACCCUUUCCAUGUGAAGUGUCUUCGACGAGUCGAGUUGUUUGGGAAUGCAGCUCAAAAUGGGUGGUAAAUUUCAUCUAAAGCUAAAUAUUGGCGGGAGACCGAUAGCGCACAAGUAGAGUGAUCGAAAGAUGAAAAGCACUUUGAAAAUAGAGUUAAAAAGUACGUGAAAUUGUUGAAAGGGAAGCGCUUGAGACCAGAGUCGGCCGUGGAUGAUCAGCUGUCCUUUUUGGACGGUGCACUCGUCCGCGGUCGGGCCAGCAUCGGUUGAGCCGGCGGGACAAAGGUUUGGGGAAUGUGACUCCCUUCGGGGAGUGUUAUAGCCCCGGGCGCAAUGCCGUCAGGCUCGACCGAGGACCGCGCUUUUAUGCUAGGAUGCUGGCGUAAUGGUCUUCAGCGACCCGUCUUGAAACACGGACCAAGGAGUCUAACAUCUAUGCGAGUGUUCGGGUGUCAAACCCCUGCGCGUAAUGAAAGUAAACGGAGGUGGGAACCCUUUCGGGGGUGCACCAUCGACCGAUCCAGAAGUCUUCUGAAGGAUUUGAGUAGGAGCAUAGCUGUUGGGACCCGAAAGAUGGUGAACUAUGCCUGAAUAGGGUGAAGCCAGAGGAAACUCUGGUGGAGGCUCGCAGCGGUUCUGACGUGCAAAUCGAUCGUCAAAUUUGGGUAUAGGGGCGAAAGACUAAUCGAACCAUCUAGUAGCUGG